GUGAAUCAUCAAAUUUUUGAACGCAGAUUGCACUCUCUGGUAUUCCGGAGAGUAUGCCCGUUUGAGGGUCAGUUUAAAUAAAAAUCGGUGUGGUUGCUGCCUUGCGUGGUGACGCACCGGAGGUGGGGCGUCUUGACUUCGGUUAAGUGACCUAGAAUAGUGCAUGAGUUGGUGCGAACGUAGGUAAGUGAGGUUACGUACGUUUGCGAUAUCGAAUACGAGGUGUGGUCAGACGCAUGAUUGGAGCCGAUAAUUUUG
rnacentral:misc_RNA from 1 species